rnacentral:sRNA from 1 species
CAACUGGCAGUAAUUAUCUCAAAGAAUGAUCGACCUUAGUUUUUGUUGUUUCUCUUUUCCUCUCUCUGAUAGGACAUGAAUUUUAUGAAAUUCCUCAUUGCCUUUUCUCUGCGCUUUCAACAUCAAACAGAUGGAGGCAAAAAGUGCAGUUGUAGCCAAUAAUACUGCGCAUAAAAUUUAUCUUUAUCUUUCAUGUCUGUUUAUUCUUUGAAACCGAGACAAAUCCCCACCAUACAAUUUUGUCAUUCUAGUAUGAAAUAAAUUAUAUUAUUUCCUCCUCAAAUCUACACAAGAACGUAUGUGAAUUUUAGCUCUCGUAUGAUGGUUUUUUGUUCCAGAAUCGAAUGGCAGUAAGUUGAGCCAUAUGUAUCAACAAUCACAGAUAUCAUUUGCAGAUAAGUUUUUGAUCUGCAAUCAAGCUGAAGGUAUUGAGCAGUAGUGCUUGUACUAGCCAGUUAUUUGAGAACAGAAAUAUCAAGAAGCGUCCUUUAACCUGAG